UUUACUACGGAGAGUUUGAUCCUGGCUCAGGACGAACGCUGGCGGCGUGCUUAACACAUGCAAGUCUACGAGAAUGAGGUAGCAAUAUCUUUAGUAAAGUGGCGCACGGGUGAGUAACGCGUAAGCAAUCUACCAUUGGGUUCGGAAUAACGUCGAGAAAUCGUCGCUAAUACCGGAUAAUGCAGCGGCAUCGCAUGAUGAUGUUGUUAAAGCCCUCGAGGCGCCUAAUGAUGAGCUUGCGUCCGAUUAGCUAGUUGGUAGGGUAAUGGCCUACCAAGGCUCCGAUCGGUAGCUGGUCUGAGAGGAUGAUCAGCCACACUGGAACUGAGACACGGUCCAGACUCCUACGGGAGGCAGCAGUGAGGAAUAUUGGGCAAUGCCCGCAAGGGUGACCCAGCAAC
rnacentral:rRNA from 1 species